AUGUGUGCGCUUGAUGCAGAUGGUGCUCCUGCCAUGGAGAAUCUUCGGGCGGAACUUGCCCAAGCCAAGGAGCAAGCCAGGAAAAGUGAUGCGGCUGCCAGAAAGGCAAUUGAAGAGCUGAAAGCCGAACAGGCUGCUCACUGCCAAAGCAAGAAGGAAAUGGCCGAGAUGGCCGUGAAGCUGAAGAACGCUGCUGACCGUUGCAAGCUUCUUGAAAAAGAAGAUCGGGCGGAACAGACGGACCUGAAGAAGGCCGUUGCCAAUUCCAAGGAUGCUCGCUCUGCGAUGAGAGCUAUGAAGGAGGAGUUGCGUCAGGCCGGAGAGAUCGCGGCUGGAAAGCCCUUUAUGCUGCGGAGGAAGUUCUGUGAUCCUAAACAUGCUCCGCUAGACCAGAUGUGGAGUACGGCGGACACCUAUCUGGAUUUAGAAGCGAGUGCCGCACAUGCGGCCGAACACUUCCGAGAUCAAGAAGAUCGCGAAGUGGAAAAGCUCUUCUGGUCGCAGUUCCACAAUCCAGAGCGUCCACUGUCAUUAGUCGAUCAUUUGGCCGAAUGGGCCGAGCUAAAUAGGUUGUCCGGACUCGCCAUGAAGUAUGUCAUGAGUCAUCUGUGGCCAGAGAGGCCAGAGCCGAAAAGUUAUUUCAACUUGGUGCAGCAGUUCCUUGGUGCGGUGCCGCAUAUCAAUGCGAUGAAGAGGUCAGCAUGCAUAGAGGGUGCGCGGAUGGCUCUUGCCCGUGUCAAGACAUACUAG
rnacentral:rRNA from 1 species